UUUUGGUUCAAAAUACUGAUCGCUUGAUGUAUUUGUCGGUUUUGUUCCUUGUAAACCGAGAAUCUCCUUCACUUGUCUUCGAUUUGAUUUUACCAUAUUUGAGCACUUUACUAAACAUCUGUUUCUGCAAUCGCAUGCAUUCUAAGUGGCUCAAUGACGAUGGACGGUGGUUCCGGACGAGAAAUAUGAUCUUCAAAUCACAUACGCACGACAGCUUUCUGGGGAGGUAAGGGUUAACGUCGGUGGCCGUGGGAUGGUGGUCGGAGGUGAAGGGCCAGCAUGGCCGAGGAUGAAAUCCGUCUGGGGUUGUCCUGCGUAUACAUACAUAAAUGAGCCUGGCAUAUCCAUUAUGAUUGGCCAUCUAAAGUGUUAGCAUAAAACAGAAAAUACAUCAUGAAUUAGUCUUUCCAAAAUCAUACGUUGACAGAUUUUUUUUGGCUAUUCUGAGUUCUUUAAUCUUACGAAUAUUCUAACAAAUAUAUAAUUCCUCUGUGUUUCUUAACAUGAAUAAUAGAAUAUUAGUGUGUGCGAAGUAUGAGUAUGCCACAACUACAUAUCUUUACUUAGGAUGAGGAUUUCUUUCAACUUGUACCCAGGAAGUAUUGUCUUCCCUACUUGUAUCUUGAAAUUUGAUUGGAUGACUCUCGGUAGGAGUGAUACUGGACAUUUGUACAGAGCAAGAGUCUAUCGGAAAGGGUGCUUACUUUAUUUCUUUGCUUUCUAUUGGAAGCCAAUUUCAUUUAGCAUGCACGAUUGAUUCCUGUAGAAAAGGUCCUGGCAUGGUUCUGCUGCAAUUUUUUUUCAAAAAGUGCAUGAUGCUGAACUUUAAGAUGUUGAGGAAUGGUUGGUGAUGUAUCAGUAAGUGUUUACUGCAAUUUUGUCAUUUGUGUGACGUUUCUUUCGUUGGCGGCUUUACUUUAAAAACGGGGAUGGAAUGUAUCAGUUAGUGUUUAAGUCGAAGGUUGCACGUCGUGCAUUUCAUCUAUAACUUGAAUAAGCUCAAUAUAUUGUAGCAAAUGAUUGGGUCUGUCAAUUAUUCCUUUUUCGGUAAGUCCAUUAUUCUUUCACAAAGCUUUUGGGAUUAGUUUUUCUAAUUUAUUCUUUAAUUAAGAUAUGGAAAGGCCAUUAUUCAUUUGACGUUCCACUUUUAUGGUCUUUAAACUUCUGGCUUUAUCUCUUGUUAGGUACCUGAAAAUUAUUACUUGAUGUACCUUUGCCAACUUCGUGGGAGCACAUGGGGCACCGCAACAAGCGCCCGAGGUUUCCUCCGUUGAAA